UACGUAGGGGGCAAGCGUUGUCCGGAAUCAUUGGGCGUAAAGAGCGCGUAGGCGGCCCUGUAAGUCCGCUGUGAAAGUCAAGGGCUCAACCCUUGGAUGCCGGUGGAUACUGCAGGGCUAGAGUCCGGAAGAGGCGAGUGGAAUUCCUGGUGUAGCGGUGAAAUGCGCAGAUAUCAGGAGGAACACCGAUGGCGAAGGCAGCUCGCUGGGACGGUACUGACGCUGAGGCGCGAAGCGUGGGAGCAAACAGG
rnacentral:rRNA from 1 species